rnacentral:misc_RNA from 1 species
GCGAUUUGGAUCUUCCCACUUAAUAAUAUAUGAUAAAUUCACACACACUGUUAUGCUACAGAUUCACUAGUCUUAGUCUACAGUUUAGAACUUGCUGUACUAAAUUCUUUACAAGGGGUGACUGGAAACAAAAUAUGACCAUCACCAAGUAGGACUAACUAACAAUCCUUGCUGUUUUCCUACCUUUAUCUAGAGUUCUAGACCUAAAGAUCAAACAACAAGUCCUUCUGGGAUGCCGAUGCCCGAUACCAUAUGUCCAUAUCUAACCAUCUAGUUCCAACCGCGUC